rnacentral:rRNA from 1 species
GAUGAACGCUGGCGGCGUGCCUAAUACAUGCAAGUCGAGCGAACAGACGAGGAGCUUGCUCCUCUGACGUUAGCGGCGGACGGGUGAGUAAAACGUGGAUAACCUACCUAUAAGACUGGGAUAACUUCGGGAAACCGGAGCUAAUACCGGAUAACAUGUUGAACCGCAUGGUUCAACAGUGAAAGACGGUCUUGCUGUCACUUAUAGAUGGAUCCGCGCCGCAUUAGCUAGUUGUUAAGGUAACGGCUUACCAAGGCAACGAUGCGUUGCCGACCUGAAAGGGGUAGCGCUCACACUGAAGCUGGGAGCCGGUCCAGAAUACGACGGGAGGGAGCAGUAGGGAAUCUUCCGCAAUGGGCGAAAGCCUGACGGAGCAACGGCGCGUGAUUGAAGAAGGUCUUCGAAUCUUAAAACUCUGUUAUUAGGGAAAAAAAAAUGUGUAAGUAACUAUGCAGAUCUUGACGGUACCUUAGCAGAAAUCCACGGCUAACUACGUG